GAAUUUUUAAAGUUAUUGAACGCCUUCAAACUAUAAGAUCACAUAUCACCUUAAGAACGAAAAAAUAAGAACAAAUAGAAAACAAAGAAAGUAGAAUGGUGGACAUAAUAAAGAUAAGGAAAUAGCAAGGAGAAAAGGAACAUAAUAUGUCCAGAAAUAUGAAUUGUAUUUUUUAAAAAUGAAAUUUAUUAGAUUUCAAUCAUAUGGACCAAGAGAUUACAAGAAACAAAUUGAAAGUGCUGCUUGUAGCUAGUAUGAAGACAAACAACAAGUGUUGGCAAGGAUGUGGGGAAAAAGGUACACUCAUACACUGCUGGCGGGACUGCAAAUUGGUGCAGCCAAUUUGGAAAGCAGUAUGGAGACUCCUUGGAAAUCUGGGAAUGGAACCACCAUUUGACCCAUCUAUUCCUCUUCUCGGACUAUACCCCAAAGGACUUAAAAACAGCAUACUACAGGGACAGAGCCACAUCAAUGUUUAUAGGAGCACAAUUCACAAUAGCUAAACUGUGGAGCAAACCUAGAUAUCCUUCAGGGGAUGAAUGGACAAAAAAAAUGUGGCAUUUAUACACAAUGGAAUAUUACUCAGCAUUAAAAAAGAACAAAACUAUGGGAUUUGCAGAUAAAUGAAUGGUGUUGGAGAAGAUAAUGUUAAGUGAAGUCAGC
rnacentral:lncRNA from 1 species